rnacentral:rRNA from 1 species
UACAGAGGGUGCGAGCGUUAAUCGGAAUUACUGGGCGUAAAGGGCGCGUAGGCGGUUGAUUAAGUUAGAGGUGAAAUCCCUGGGCUCAACCUGGGAAUUGCCUUUAAAACUGGUUAGCUAGAGUAGAGUAGAGGGAAGUGGAAUUUCCGGUGUAGCGGUGAAAUGCGUAGAUAUCGGAAAGAACAUCAGUGGCGAAGGCGGCUUCCUGGACUCAUACUGACGCUGAGGCGCGAAAGCAUGGGGAGCAAACAGG